GCCUGCGUAGCUCAGUGGUAGAGCAACAGUUUUGUAAACUGUGGGUCGGGGGUUCAACUCCCUCUGCAGGCU
rnacentral:tRNA from 1 species